rnacentral:rRNA from 1 species
UACGUAGGGUGCAAGCGUUUAAUCGGAAUACUGGGCGUAAAGCGUGCGCAGGCGGUUUUGUAAGGUCUGUCGUGAAAGCCCCGGGCUCAACCUGGGAAUGGCGAUGGAGACUGCAAGGCUAGAGUGUGUCAGAGGGGGGUAGAAUUCCACGUGUAGCAGUGAAAUGCGUAGAGAGUGUGGAGGAACACCGAUGGCGAAGGCAGCCCCCUGGGAUA